GCAGGAGCAAAAUUCAUGAGCCUUGAUUUCUGAUAUAUUUUCCCACCUCUGUCCCAUUCAGGACCAUUGUGGCACUCCCCAUUUUGCAGGGAACACCAUGGCUAGGACAGCAGGGUGUUUGGCUAGCCUGUGUGAGCUUCCUUACUGGCCAGCCAGCCACUGCCACCUAAAAUAUGUACAAAAUUAUGUUUGCAAAUCCCCCAAGAGAUUAGAUAUUGGAUUUCUUUUCACCCCCAACCUGUUUAUUUCUGCAAAACCAUUAGGAAUGUGAUUUUCUUUGAGGUUCUGCCCCAUUUAAAAUGUAGGUGAAGUUUCUCGGUGGAUUCCUGUGUUACUAGCAGGGCACCGACAGGCAGGAAAAAGAGAGAGAGAAAUGAAAAGCAGUAUUGCAAAUGUCUCAUUUCCUUGUGCAGCCAAGUUAAGAAAAGAAGCUUAUAGGGCCUGUGACCAGCUCCUGGCCGUAAGCAGUCUCGCAAUGAGAGGAAGGAAAGGACUACUAAUGCUGAACUGGGAUUCUUCAGUGCAAAUCCUGUGCCAAGACAUCUGUGUCCUGCAGGGGAAGAAAUGAAACCACUCUGCUAAUUUGUCUCCUGGGUUAAGGGCAAAAUAUGUCACCAGGAGGAUGCAGGAUAUCCUAGGGAAUUCCUACCAGUCGCAGUCCUCACAGUAACGAGAACACAAAUGGGGGGAGAUUUAAUGCACUCACUGAAUGACUGAGCAGAUGUAGGAGAGAAGGAAGGAGAUGCCUGGUCCCAGGAACUUUGUCGUAUCUCAGGUGCAAGGAACAGCGAAGGAGGAGGACAGAUCCUCGAUAUGAUGCCAGAGGUGCACCCGUGCUGCUGGGAGGAUCUGUUGUGUUUGAAAGCCAUUGGGAUCGUUUCCUUGAUGCAUUAUUACUGGGACUUGGAAUCUGCUACUUCUCCGUGUCACCACGCUGGAUCCAGGGCAGCAGAGCCUGCUGGGUGCUCUUCAACAAGGGAGGGAACUGGGAAUUUGUACAGAAGCAACCUGCUUUCAGUCAGCAUGCAAAGAAGCACAGGAAAGCAGCAUCAGUUUGUGAGUACACCAGUGAAAACAGUACCCAUUAUUCAAAACAUCCUCGUGCCAUUAAGAAGAUGCAUCUGUUGGAAAGUCCAAGGACUUAAAAAGACCUGA
rnacentral:lncRNA from 1 species